UACGUAGGGUGCAAGCGUUGUCCGGAAUUAUUGGGCGUAAAGAGCUCGUAGGUCGUUUGUUACGUCGGAUGUGAAAACCUGAGGCUCAACCUCAGGCCUGCAUUCGAUACGGGCAAACUAGAGUUUGGUAGGGGAGACUGGAAUUCCUGGUGUAGCGGUGGAAUGCGCAGAUAUCAGGAGGAACACCAAUGGCGAAGGCAGGUCUCUGGGCCAAUACUGACACUGAGGAGCGAAAGUCUGGGGAGCGAACAGG
rnacentral:rRNA from 1 species